AUACGUAGGUGGCGAGCGUUGUCCGGAAUUACUGGGCGUAAAGGGUGCGUAGGCGGAUAAUCAAGUCAGAUGUGAAAGUCCAUGGCUUAACUGUGGGAGUGCAUUUGAGACUGAAGAUCUAGAGUGCAGGAGAGGGAAGCGGAAUUCCUAGUGUAGCGGUGAAAUGCGUAGAUAUUAGGAAGAACACCAGUGGCGAAGGCGGCUUUCUGGACUGUAACUGACGCUGAAGCACGAAAGCGUGGGGAGCAAACAGGAUUAGAUACCCUGGUAGUCCACGCCGUAAACGAUGAGUAUUAGGUGUAGGGGACGAUAGUCUUCUGUGCCGGAGUUAACACAAUAAGUAAUCCACCUGGGAAGUACGACCGCAAGGUUGAA
rnacentral:rRNA from 1 species